rnacentral:rRNA from 1 species
GAUGAACGCUGGCGGCGUGCCUAAUACAUGCAAGUCGAGCGAACAGACGAGGAGCUUGCUCCUCUGACGUUAGCGGCGGACGGGAGAGUAACACGUGGAUAACCUACCUAUAAGACUGGGAUCACUUCGGGAAACCGGAGCUAAUACCGGAUAAUAUAUUGAACCGCAUGGUUCAAUAGUGAAAGACGGUUUUGCUGUCACUUAUAGAUGGAUCCGCGCCGCAUUAGCUAGUUGGUAAGGUAACGGCUUACCAAGGCGACGAUGCGUAGCCGACCUGAGAGGGUGAGCGGCCACACGGGAACUGGAAGCCGUUCAAGACUCCUGGGGGAAGCAGCAGUAGGGAUUCUUCCGCAAUGGGCGAAAGCCUGACGGAGCAGCGCCGCGUGAGUGAUGAAGGUCUUCGGAUCGUAAAACUCUGUUAUUAGGGAUGAACAAAUGUGUAAGUAACUAUGCACGUCUUGACGGUACCUAAUCAGAAAGCCACGGCUAACUACGUG